ACAUUGGUGGAUCAGUAGUAGAAUUCUUGCCUUCCAUGUGAGAGACCCAGGAUCAAUUCCUGGCCAGUGCA
rnacentral:tRNA from 1 species